rnacentral:rRNA from 1 species
AUGGCACUUGGCCGAACACUUGCUAGCGUGGUGUCUGGCACAGGCGGCAACGACAGGGGUCGGAGGAUACUUGCUUGCAUACGGGUUCGGGGUGACGGCGGCGUAGUCCAAGGUGGGCAGGCGUAUGGGGGCGUCCAACAAGGCCUGGUCAGCGGCCGGAGUGGGCAUUUGAGUGAGCCGGGGGUGUCAGAGUCCUAUGUGGCGGAGGUCCGGAAUCCUUUAAACCUCCCCCGGUUUGUGCCCGGUGUGCGGGAAUUCGUCUCACGAACGCGUCCGCAGACGCUUGCGGGAGUUUUGUGGCACCGCGUUGGAGAUGCCCUUACCUCUUUUCUUUUCGAGCAUUUUCUUGCUGAAAUGACUGCCGGUGAAAUAACACCAUCGCUCCGUGUAACUGGUGGGAAGGACGCAAACUAUGAGGAAGAAGUCGUUGCACGCAUAGAGGCGGUACACGAGAACAAGUACGUCCAUGCACGUAUGGAGGAAAGGCCACUUAAACCCCACAUGUUAGAGACAGCGGCGGGGGUAUAUGAUCAAGGAUUUGCGAGCAAGUGGGGUUAUCGUCAAUUAUCCCCAUGUGGAGCCAUGGGGUGGUGCGGGCUGAGGCAGAGAGAGCGAGAGAGAGAGAGAGGGGGGAAAGAAGCGCCCCUCUGCUGCAAACCCUCCCUCCUCCACCCUUCGCUGCGACGGCAUUGGAGCGCUGCCGCCGCCGCCGCCUGCGGCGAUGAACCCGAAGAAUCUACACACGCAGACGGGCCCCAUCUGCGCCCCCCAGCAGCGCUGCAUCGACGUAAGCUCGACCUCAACCUCUCCCUCCUCCCCCUCAACCCCCCGUCUGUGUUCUGCAAAUGGAGCCGUACACAGGCGACGGCAAGGAAAGGACCCUGCGGAGGCCGUGGCGCCGUGCCAGUUCUUGGUGCAGCGCCACGGGCCAAGCCGCAUCAGCGGGUGCGCCGCCCCGGCUGCUGGGGCCAGGCCGUCGCGCGCGGCCACGGCCGCGCUGCAGCCGGCCGGCGUAGGGGCGGGGGGUCGAGGGCGUCCCCGUCCAGGUCGACGCGCCUGCUGGGGAUUGGGGUUUUAGCAGCUAUUGCUUUCCUGCAGGAUAUCCCAGUCAUUCAUUAUGACGUAAAUGGAGGACUUACGUCCUACAUGAGACUGAUACGCGGCCGGGUUCGAACGAACAGUCUCAUGGCCCCGCUGAGAUAUUUCAAUGUUGCGGUGACACCACACCGUAACCCUAGUUGCAAGGAUGCGAAUGAUGAUGAGCAGGACGUAGAGUUGCAGGUGGAGAUAGAGGUGAAAGAGGAGAACAAGAAAAUGAAGAAGAAGAAGAAGAAGAAGAAGAAGAAGACAAAUAAGGAGGAGGAGGAGGAUGAUGAUGAUGAUGAUGAGGAGGAGGAGGAGGAGGAGGAGGAGGAGGAGGAGGAGGUGGAGGAGGUGGUGGUGGUGGUGGUGGUGGACAAGGUGAAGAAAAGUAGUGGGAAAUCUCAUUACGUAGAAGCUGACAGCAAGUAUGAGGAGGUGGAGGUGAAUAAGGAGAAGAAGGAGGUGGAGGUGGCCAAGGCGAAGAAAAGAAGAGGGAAAUCUCGGUACGUAGUAGAUGACUGCGAGUAUGAGGAAGUGGAGUUGAAAGAGGAGAAAAAGAAGGAGGAGGUGGUGGUGGAGGAGAAGGAUGAUGACUGGAAGAAAGAGAGGAAGAAGAAAAGGAGUGGCCGAAGUUACCACAUUAUUGAGAUGUUUAACUCCCUUGAUCCAUCAGUGAGGGUGCAGCUGCUUGUGUGUGACUAUGACGGAUAUAUCGUCGGCUUCCGGCGGCAGGAAAAGAGAGUAUGGGGUACAUGGUACCGACUUCGGGGAGAGUACAUGCCCACCUGGCUGAAUCCUGCUGAAAUUAGAGUGUCUGGCAACCACAGCACGGAGACCACCGUGGGAGGCAUUGAUUGCAUCAUGCAUAUGUUUUACGCGCUGGCUCGGUCUGAGAGUGACCUUGCUGAGAUCAAGGCAACCUUGCUCCGGGCUGUCGUGAUGUUUUGCGAAGCACUUCGUUUUCUCUGUAUCCUUCAGAUGGUCAUCGAUGCAAUUGUAAACAACCAAGAUGCCACCCCUCUGCCUAACCACUUCUGGGGGCGCAUCAACAAUUGGGGUCAACUCUCCAGGAUGGCGCUGCAAGUAUGCAAGAACGGCGCUGUUGACAGUCCUACUUUGUUGGGCAGGGUCAUGCACAGAUGCCAAUAUUUUUCAUUUGAGGAGAUCAUUGGAGAUAGGACAAAGGGUGACUUGACACUGCUGAUGCGGAACGAUGAAAUCCUGCUUGACAGAGCAACUUCUUCUCCAACCCUGCUGCUGUUCUUCUCCAAACUCUGCUGCUCUUCGUCUACGCCUCGUUUUGCUGCUACAAUCUGCACCACCCUUGCUGCUGCUCCCCUUCAUGACCAUCAGCGCGACGACAACUACCUCUUCUUCGCCAAUCUCUGCUGA